rnacentral:rRNA from 1 species
AUGGAGGGCUUCUGGAAAAGCAGUACCAGUAGCAGGGACAUAUCAUUGGAGAGUGUUAGGGAGAUCCCCCAAAACACAAUCCAGGAAUCUGAUCAGAAUGCCAGUGAGGGGAAUCAGGAGCCUAUAAGGGCUACUGGCACCGACUCAAUUGAUCCUACAUUUUUGGAGGCUCUUCCAGAGGAUUUACGGGCUGAAGUUCUUUCUUCGCGUCAAAAUCAAGUGACUCAGACUUCCCAACGGUUGCAACAACAGUCUCAAGAGUUUGAAGGGCAACCAGUUGAAAUGGACGAUUUAUCAAUUUGCAACCUUCCCUUUAGAAAUACGGGAGGGAGGUGCUUUUGA